CGUUAGGACCCAGGAGAGGAGAAAAAACGGAUCCCUGAGAGCGCGAGAAGCAGGAGGCGUGGUUGGCGCCGAGACUCGUCCAGCACUGAGAGAGAGGAGAGGGAGCCGAAGCGGCACACACCGCUGCAGCAAGAAGCAAGAGGGGAGAGCCGCGGACAGAAGGCAGCCUGGACCGGAAGGCGCUGUGUGUGCACGCCGAGCAGCAGGGGAAGAGAAUGAGACAUCCACGGUCAGGAGUUGGCCAGGAACAGGGAAGCGCUGUGUGUGUGCACCCAGGAGAGGGGGAGCCAUGACAGGAGCGCCAGGCAGUGCCAGCACAAGUUGGUGGGAAAAGCACUGACAGCCAACAGGGUGUUGUACGUACUGGGGUAUCUCCGUCCUUCUGCCCACAUCCUAUACAGGUGUCCCAUGCAGACUUUGGCAGGUGUCGUGGCAAGAGAGAACUGGUCGACCGAACGGGCCGCAACUGGAAAGGCGUGAGACUCCAGAUCUGCUGAAAGCCAUAUCUGCAUUUGUAUCAUCACGCCUAGACUACUGCAAUGCCCUCCACCUGGGUCUUCCGGCAGAAGAAUUGUACCAUAUACAGCUGGUAUAAAACACAGCUGCCAGGCUAUUAACCAACUAACCCCAUUCUAGCCACAUAACAACACCCAUCCUCUACUCUCUUCACUGGUAGCCUGUAAGAUGAUGAAUAGUUUCCAAGAUUGGCUACUGAGGUUCACAGCACUACAUGACCAGGGCCCAAGGUACCUGAAGCAGCUUCUGCCUCCUUACUGUCCCACUCACUUACUGCAAUCGGUAGAUGAAGGACUUUUAGCGGUACCUAGAAUCUCCCAGAAUUCAUCUGGGGGUCGAGCUUUUAGCUUUGUAGCUCUGACUCUAUGGAACUUUCUUCCCCGCACAGUUGCAGAGGCCCCAACUCUAGACUCCUUCUAAAACAGACUCAAGACUUUCCUAUUUACUCAGCAUUUCGCUAAUGUCUACUGUUAAGCUUGUUUUAUAUUUUGUGUAGGCAAAUGUAAAGCAAUUUGAGACCUGCUAGGAGAAAAGUGCUAUAUAAAUAACAUUAUUAUUAUUAUUAUUAUUAUUAUUAUUAUUAUUUUCUUG